rnacentral:snRNA from 1 species
GUUCAUUCCUGAACAUAUGCUACCAUUGGAACAAUACAGAGAAGACUAGCGUGGCCCCUGCGCAAGGAUGACACGCAAAAUACCCCAAGUACUU